rnacentral:rRNA from 1 species
CAGCCGCCGCGGUGAUACGUAGGGUGCGAGCGUUGUCCGGAUUUAUUGGGCGUAAAGAGCUCGUAGGUGGUUUGUUGCGUCGGGAGUGAAAACACACAGCUCAACUGUGUGCUUGCUUUCGAUACGGGCAGACUUGAGGGAUGUAGGGGAGAACGGAAUUCCUGGUGGAGCGGUGGAAUGCGCAGAUAUCAGGAGGAACACCGGUGGCGAAGGCGGUUCUCUGGACAUUUCCUGACGCUGAGGAGCGAAAGCGUGGGGAGCAAACAGGCUUAGAUACCCUGGUAGUCCACGCCGUAAACGGUGGGCACUAGGUGUGGGGGACAUUCCACGUUCUCCGUGCCGUAGCUAACGCAUUAAGUGCCCCGCCUGGGGAGUACGGCCGCAAGGCUAAAACUCAAAGGAAUUGACGGGGGCCCGCACAAGCGGCGGAGCAUGCGGAUUAAUUCGAUGCAACGCGAAGAACCUUACCUGGGUUUGACAUGCACCAGACGACAGCAGAGAUGUUGUUUCCUUCGGGCUGGUGUGCAGGUGGUGCAUGGCC